AGGUUCUAACCUCCUAGCAAAUUCUUACUGUCUAAUUCCAUUUGGGUUUGAAUUUCUUAUAAAGUAAAUGGCGGGUAAUUGGAGAUUAUGAUUGGCAAUAUUAUCUGCUGUCUAAAUAUGUAAUGGCUUGGGAAUUAGGUAGGUCUCACUUAUUCAUUGUGCAAUCAACUUUCUGGUAAAUGUGACAGUGUAUGAGCAGUUAGCCAGUAUUAUUGACCUGCAACUACUCACGCCUUUAGCUUGCAGUAAUCCAGUCUGUGGCUUUACAUUUGAUUAACUAAUUGAGAUGUAGCACCUUAAACAAGCCAUUCUGUUUAUCUGUUGUCUAAAUAUGUAAUGGCUUGGGAAUUAGGUAGGUCUCACUUAUUCAUUGUGCAAUCAACUUUCUGAUAAAUGUGACAGGUAUGAGCAGUUAGCAGUAUUAUUGACCUGCAACUACUCACGCCUUUAGCUUGCAGUAAUCCACUCUGUGGCUUUACAUUUGAUUAACUAAUUGAGAUGUAGCACCUUAAACAAGCCAUUCUGUUUAUUGCCAAAAAAACAAUGAUACCCUCGACUCCGAAUUAUAACUAUAUUUCCCAUGUCCAUGGGGAUUCUCUUGGAUCAGCUCUUCGCUAUUUAUUCAGUAAAUUGCUGUCUCUCUUUACCCUCGUAGGUCUUUUCUAUCGCUGUUUUUUAAGUAGGUGGGAAGGGUUAUUGUCUUGUGUUUUCCAGGUG
rnacentral:lncRNA from 1 species